GGGGAAUCUUGCACAAUGGGGGAAACCCUGAUGCAGCGACGCCGCGUGAGCGAUGAAGCCUUUCGGGGUGUAAAGCUCUUACGCCAGGGACGAUAGUGACGGUACCUGGAGAAGCAGCUGCGGCUAACUACGUGCCAGCAGCCGCGGUAAUACGUAGGCAGCAAGCGUUGUUCGGAAUUACUGGGCGUAAAGGGUGCGUAGGCGGUGCUCUAAGUUUGGUGUGAAAUCUCCCGGCUUAAUUGGGAGGGUGCGCCGAAAACUGGAGUGCUUGAGUGUGGGAGAGGAAAGCGGAAUUCCUGGUGUAGCGGUGAAAUGCGUAGAGAUCAGGAGGAACACCUGCGGUGUAGACGGCUUUCUGGACCAUAACUGACGCUGAGGCACGAAAGCGUGGGUAGCAAACA
rnacentral:rRNA from 1 species